AUGGCGCAUACUGUCGACUGGACAUUUCUACUCUGGCGCCUUAUGGUGGAGGAGAUGUUCGAGCUGAGGAAGGGGAUGAGGACCGAUUGGGCGUGCUACUACGGCGCAUACCUGCAGAGGCUCAUCUGGGUGAAGAGGCCGGACCUGUUCUUGCCACCACCGGUGGCGCCACCGGAGCAAGCGGCAUCGGCGGCAGGAAACAACCACCGGUCAAAUGCCGACGACAAUCAGAAGCUCUGUUCAGAGCUGGAGUCCAAGAUGCAGGAGUGUGAAGCGAGAUCACAGCGGUUUGAAGCGGAGGUUGAGGCGAAAUCAAGGCAACUUGAUGCUCUAGCUGCGCAGUAUCACAACGAAAUGAGGAACCUUGAGCAAGAUAAGAAAAGGCAACUUGAUGCUCUAGCUGCACUGCAUCACUACGACAUGAGGAACCUCGAGCAAGAUAAGAAAAUGUUGCAGGAUGAGGUGCACACAGUCAAGCUGCUGAAUCAGGCUCUGGUUUGCAAGGAAACAGAGAGCAGGGAUGAAGUGCAGCGGGUUCUGAAAGAGCUGACUCAUGUGAGCAAGCAGCUAGCAGAGUUGAAGGAUGCCAUGCACAAGGUGGAGUCACUUAACCAGGCUCUGGUUAACAAGGAAACGAAAAGCGACGAUGAACUUCGACGAGGACAGGAGGAGAUGACAGAUGUGAGAAAGCAACUAGCAUAUUUACAGGAGGAGAUGCGCGCCAUUGACUUGCUCAACCAGGCCCUGGCUAGUGCCAAGGAAGCGAAAGACAAUGAAUUGGAGAGGGUUCGGAAUGAGCUAGUACAUGUAAGGAAGCAAGCAGGGCAUUUGGAAGAGGAGAUGGACAUACUGGAUUCAAUCAACAAGGCUCUAGUUGCCAAGGAAAGGGAAAACAGUGCCGAGUUGCAAGACAUCCGGAAAAAGAUGAAAGAUCUAAACGAUGAGCGUGAAGGGCUAGAGUCAGACAACAAAGUCCUGACAACCAUGGAAAUAAGAAGCAACAACGAGUUGCGAGUCGUCCGGAAAACGCUGAUAGAUGGUUUGCAGAAUUUUACGAAUGGACAUGCACACAUAGGUAUCAAAAGGAUGGGCGAUCUUGACCUCAAAGAAUUUGCAAAAGCUUGCAAGCAAGAUUUAUUACAAGAGGAUGCACAAGUUGAUUCCUCUGUUCUUUGUUCGAAGUGGGAAGCUCGAAUUGCAGACUCAAACUGGCACCCUUUUGAGGUCCGCAUGAAUGAUGAUGGUAAAGAGAAGGAAGUUCUGCUAAAGGAUAAUGUUAAGCUUCGGGAGUUAGAAGAGCACGGUGAAGAAAUAUACACUUUGGUGACAAAGGCGCUGCUUGAAAUCAACGAGUACAACCCCAGUGGCCGCUAUCUGGUACCGGAGCUAUGGAACUACAAGGAUGGCCGGAAAGCAACACUGGAAGAGGCCAUCAAGUAUAUCCUGAAAUCACGCAAGAGGAAGCGAUCAUGCAACAAGAUUAACAGUGAUCGCCUUUUGGUUGAUAAGGUUUACCAGUUUAGUAGUUUAGUUAGAUUCUCCUAUUGUACCAUUUACAUGGAUACUGGUACUAAUCUCAGACUGCAGACUACCGCUUCUAUCUUUGUAUAUGUGCAGUUCCUGCCAUUGGAAAUCUUGUAUAAAGGGCCAGUGAUAUUUCAGAAGGUCCAUGUUUUAGGCCAGGGAGAAAGUUCGGUCAAAAGGAUGGGAUAUGAAUCACCUUCUCACCAACAACACAAAAUGAGUGGGACUGGGGAGACACAGAGGGAUCAUGCGCUUCUUGCUAUGACAGUGACCACUGAUUCAGAAAAUGCUCCGUCUGGUUCUAAUGAAAGGCAGAAGCGCAUAAAUUCAGGCAAUAAUAUUUCAGAAGGUCCAUGUUCUAGGUUCCAGAUAAAGUUUCCAUACAAGCCUACCUCGAACCUUUUCAGAGCAACAUUGCGUCAACAGGAACCUCCAGCUGCAAGGCCACCUCCACCUUCAGGUAACAAUAGACAAGUUGUUCAAGCGGAGGAUACAAGCGGCGAGGAAGGUGCCUAG
rnacentral:rRNA from 1 species